UCGAGGGGCAGCGAGAGUGAUAGCAAUAUUACUUGUCGGCGACCGGCGCAUGGGUGCGUAACGCGUAUGCAACCUACCAUCAACAGGGGGAUAACACUGAGAAAUUGGUACUAAUACCCCAUAAUAUCUCAUGCGGCAUCGCAUGGGGUUGAAAACUCCGGUGGUUGAUGAUGGGCAUGCGUUGUAUUAGCUGGUUGGUGAGGUAACGGCUCACCAAGGCGACGAUGCGUAGGGGUUCUGAGAGGAAGGUCCCCCACACUGGAACUGAGACACGGUCCAGACUCCUACGGGAGGCAGCAGUGAGGAAUAUUGGUCAAUGGCCGUAAGGCUGAACCAGCCAAGUAGCGUGAGGGAAGACUGCCCUAUGGGUUGUAAACCUCUUUUAUGCGGGGAUAAAGGUGUCCACGUGUGGAUGUUUGCAGGUACCGCAUGAAUAAGGACCGGCUAAUUCCGUGCCAGCAGCCGCGGUAAUACGGAAGGUCCGGGCGUUAUCCGGAUUUAUUGGGUUUAAAGGGAGCGUAGGCCGGUCUUUAAGCGUGCCGUGAAAUUUUGUGGCUCAACCAUGAGAGUGCGGCGCGAACUGGAGACCUUGAGUGCGCGGAAGGCAGGCGGAAUUCGUGGUGUAGCGGUGAAAUGCUUAGAUAUCACGAAGAACCCCGAUUGCGAAGGCAGCCUGCCGCAGCGUUACUGACGCUGAAGCUCGAAAGCGCGGGUAUCGAACAGGAUUAGAUACCCUGGUAGUCCGCGCGGUAAACGAUGGAUGCCCGCUGUCGGCGAUAUACAGUCGGCGGCC
rnacentral:rRNA from 1 species